AGUCGAGCGAACGGACGAGAAGCUUGCUUCAUCUGAUGUUAGCGGCGGACGGGUGAGUAACACGUGGAUAACCUACCUAUAAGACUGGGAUAACUUCGGGAAACCGGAGCUAAUACCGGAUAAUAUUUUGAACCGCAUGGUUCAAAAGUGAAAGACGGUCUUGCUGUCACUUAUAGAUGGAUCCGCGCUGCAUUAGCUAGUUGGUAAGGUAACGGCUUACCAAGGCAACGAUGCAUAGCCGACCUGAGAGGGUGAUCGGCCACACUGGAACUGAGACACGGUCCAGACUCCUACGGGAGGCAGCAGUAGGGAAUCUUCCGCAAUGGGCGAAAGCCUGACGGAGCAACGCCGCGUGAGUGAUGAAGGUCUUCGGAUCGUAAAACUCUGUUAUUAGGGAAGAACAUAUGUGUAAGAAACUGUGCACAUCUUGACGGUACCUAAUCAGAAAGCCACGGCUAACUACGUGCCAGCAGCCGCGGUAAUACGUAGGUGGCAAGCGUUAUCCGGAAUUAUUGGGCGUAAAGCGCGCGUAGGCGGUUUUUUAAGUCUGAUGUGAAAGCCCACGGCUCAACCGUGGAGGGUCAUUGGAAACUGGAAAACUUGAGUGCAGAAGAGGAAAGUGGAAUUCCAUGUGUAGCGGUGAAAUGCGCAGAGAUAUGGAGGAACACCAGUGGCGAAGGCGACUUUCUGGUCUGUAA
rnacentral:rRNA from 1 species